rnacentral:rRNA from 1 species
ACUCAAAUGAAUUGACGGGGGCCCGCACAAGCGGUGGAGCAUGUGGUUUAAUUCGAUGCAACGCGAAGAACCUUACCUACUCUUGACAUCCAGAGAACUUUCCAGAGAUGGAUUGGUGCCUUCGGGAACUCUGAGACAGGUGUUGCAUGGCUGUCGUCAGCUCGUGUUGUGAAAUGUUGGGUUAAGUCCCGCAACGAGCGCAACCCUUAUCCUUUGUUGCCAGCGAUUCGGUCGGGAACUCAAAGGAGACUGCCGGUGAUAAACCGGAGGAAGGUGGGGAUGACGUCAAGUCAUCAUGGCCCUUACGAGUAGGGCUACACACGUGCUACAAUGGCGUAUACAAAGAGAAGCGAACUCGCGAGAGCAAGCGGACCUCAUAAAGUACGUCGUAGUCCGGAUUGGAGUCUGCAACUCGACUCCAUGAAGUCGGAAUCGCUAGUAAUCGUAGAUCAGAAUGCUACGGUGAAUACGUUCCCGGGCCUUGUACACA